ACUCUCUACUGAAAUAACUAUUAUUUAUUUCCUCUAUGUGCAGGACUUCCCUGGUGGCACAGAGGAUAAGAACCCGCCUGCCAAUGCAGGAGACACAGGUACAAUUCCUGGUCCAGGAAGAUCCCACGUACCUCAGAGCAACUAAGCCCACGGACCACCACUGGGGACCCUGCGCUCUAGGACCCAUGAGCCACAACGAAUGAGCCUCUGUGCCCCCAGGCUCCAACAGUACCUGAACCGUGAACUUCCAGAUGUUCAGGCUGGAUUUAGAAAGGGCAGAGAAACCAGAGAUCAAAUGGCCAACAUCUGUUGGAUCAUAAAAAAAGCAAGAGUUCCAGAAAAACAUCUAUUUCUGCUUUAUUGACUACGCCAAAGCCUUUGACUGUGUGAAUCACAAAAAACCGUGGAAAAUUCUGAAAGAGAUGGGAAUACCAGACCACCUUACCUGCCUCCUGAGAAAUCUGUAUGCAGGUCAAGAAGCAACAGUUAGAACUGGACAUGGAAAAAGAGACUAUUUUCAAAUCAGGAAAGGAGUAUGUCAAGGUUGUAUAUUGUCACCCAGCUUAUUUAAUUUAUAUGCAGAGUAUAUCAUGCGAAAUGCCGGCUGGAUGAAGCACAAGCUGGAAUUAAGAUUUCCAGGAAAAAUAUCAAUAACCUCAGAUACACAGAUGACACCACCCUUAUGGCAGAAAUCCUUAUGGCAGAAAUCGAAGAAGAACUAAAGAGCCUCUUGAUGAAAGUGAAAGAGGAGAGUGAAAAAGUUGGCUUAAAACUCAACAUUCAGAAAACUAAGAUCAUGGCAUCUGGUC
ensembl:lncRNA